GACGAACGCUGGCGGCGUGCCUAAUACAUGCAAGUAGAACGCAGUUGCGAACGGGUGAGUAACGCGUAGGUACCUGCCUCAUAGCGGGGGAUAACGAUUGGAAACGAUAGCUAAUACCGCAUACUGCGCGAUUGACCUGCGUUGUAUUAGCUAGUUGGUUAGGUAAAGGCUCACCAAGGCGACGAUACAUAGCCGACCUGAGAGGGUUGUCCGGCACAAUGGGAACGGGAACAGGGCCAGACUUCCACGGGAGGCAGGCGGAGGGAAACUUCGGGAAUGGGAGGAAGGCUUACCGGGCAAAGGCGCGGGAGGGAAGAAGGGUUUCGGGUUGUAAAGACCUGUUGUUUGAGAAGCGGUAUCUAACCAGAAAGCGACGGCUAACUACGUGCCAGCAGCCGCGGUAAUAC
rnacentral:rRNA from 1 species